rnacentral:rRNA from 1 species
UACGGAGGUGUCAAACGUUGUCCGGAAUUACUGGGCGUAAAGGGCGCGUAGGCGGUCGGAUAAGUCAGAUGUGAAAUCACCGGGCUCAACCCGGUAAUUGCAUUUGAAACUGCCUAACUUGAGUUGGGUAGAGGAGGGCGGAAUUCCUGGUGUAGCGGUGAAAUGCGUAGAUAUCAGGAGGAACACCUGUGGCGAAGGCGGCUCUCUGGUCCGAUACUGACGCUGAGGCGCGAAAGCUAGGGUAGCAAACAGG